UGAAUUUUAGAAUGCUACGUUGUAUCUUAUGAAUUAUAAAAACUUAUGUUGUGUUACAUGCAUCUUAUUAUGUAACGUUACACCACAUGAAUUUUACAAUGUUGUGUUGGACCACAUAAAUAUUUAUAUUGCACCACGUGAUCUUUUGAGUGUUACAUUGUACCACAUAAGUUUUAUAAAUUAUCGCACAUGAAUCGUAAAAUAUUCUUCAUAAUCGUGAUGAACUUUUAUGUUGCAUCUCUUGACUCCUUAGUGUUGCUUUGAAUUUUAACUUGUUAUAUUGCACCAUAUUAUUUUUUAUGUUGCACCACAUUAUUUUUAGUGUUACCUAUUAAGAGUUUUUCGUUUCGCAUGAUACUGAUAGAACCUUUGAUAAAUUUCAGGUGUCUGUUUUGAAGAUCACAAGGGAUUUUUGCUACAGCAUCUUAGAGGUGUUUUGAAUAAAAACAGAAGUGAUGAUUAUUUUCUGUUAAGAAAGUUGGCAGUCUUAUAUAGUCGUCUGUGAACUGCCAAGACCGUACCUUUGAUACUUGUCAGCCUACCAGAGGAUGAUGUGAAGAAGUCUCGAGAUGAACCAUAAUGUUUACGGGAGUUCGAAGAGAUCUAUAUGAGAACUUGAGAAACGUUAAUCUGACGAGUCUAACACAGAAGGAAUCAUCACUAUGAGAUGAUCCAUCAAGUGGCAGCCAUAAUGUUUACAGGAGUUCGAAGAGAUCUAUAUGAGUAUGACGAGUCUAACACAGAAGAAAUCGGCCUCUCUGAACCAUCUCUAUACUUGUUAAGAUCCUACAUCCAUUAGCGCCACCACACCUGCGAAGGCUCCCGCACUUUCAGAUCCUACAUCUCUCAGCGCCACUACUCCAGCGAAGGCUCGUACGGACCCUACAUCUCUCAGCGCCACCACUCCCGCGAAUCUUAUUAAGAGAACUGACUGUGGACGAAGAAAACUUCGCUGCUGAAAGGAAAACGCGAACUAGAAAAACGCAAUCAAACAGCACCACGUAUAUUUUAGAUCAAGAAAAAUUGACAGUAUUUCAGAAGUCAGUAGAAAGUGUUUAUGGUCGCAUUGUGUUAUGUGUAGAUACUUUAAAACUUCAUUAUACAUACAUGUCUUGAGAAAGUAUUAAUUCAGUUGAAUGUAGUAUAUGGUUUACUAGUUGUAUUUGCCAUGGAAACAUUUUUUAUCCUGAAAAGUAAAAAGUUUCAGUAUGUGUGCAGCGGUUUCUUUGCUUAGUGAACUUGUUAUCAAAAUAAAUUUGACUUGAAAAUAAAAUUUGAAAGACUGUUUGAACAAAAUAAAUGUAUUCUAACGUAAUUAAGUAGAAUAUAUGUAUUCUAACGUGAUUAAGUAGAAUAUAAGUGCAUUUAUACAUUGUA
rnacentral:lncRNA from 1 species